GAGAAAACUCACAAGGACUGCUAAUCCAUGCCUCCGUACCUAAAGCUACGGUUUUCUCA
ensembl:Mt_tRNA